rnacentral:misc_RNA from 1 species
CCAAAAGAUAAUCUUUCCAUCUCGAAAGAUCUUUUCCAUUGUGCUGGCUUUGACUGUAUUGUCAUUUUAGGGCUUAAACAUGGUGUUAUGCCGGCCCUAAAAAAACAUUAUACCAACCGUUUGAUUGACACUCUGUGUUGAUUUUACAAACAAUAUGUAAAGAAAGUCAAGUUAUUAUAACAAAAAA